rnacentral:rRNA from 1 species
UACGGAGGGUGCAAGCGUUAAUCGGAAUUACUGGGCGUAAAGGGUGCGUAGGUUGUAGUUUAAGUUAUCUGUGAAAUCCCUGGGCUUAACCUAGGCAGGUCAGAUAAGACUGGAUUACUGGAGUAUGGGAGAGGGUAGUGGAAUUUCCGGUGUAGCGGUGAAAUUCGUAGAGAUCGGAAAGAACACUCGUGGCGAAGGCGGCUUUCUGGCCCAAAACUGACGCUGAGGUGCGAAAGCGUGGGGAGCAAACAGG